CUUCUACACCUGCAUUGCUUGCUGUUUGGGGUUUUAGGCUGGGUUUCUGUACAGCACUUUGAGAUAUCAGCUGAUGUACGAAGGGCUAUAUGAAUACAUUUGAUUUGAUUUGAUUUGAUUUGGAAGAAGGUGAAGAGGACCAAGGUCCAGCGUGGUACAUGUUCAUGGUAGAUUUAAUAAAGAAACUGAACACUAGAACAAAAACCAACAAAAACCAACAAAGCGGAACAAACGAAACAGUUCUGUCUGGUGCAGACACACAAACACAGAAAACAACUACCCACAAACACAGGUGGGAACAGGCUACCUAAGUAUGGUUCUCAAUCCGAGACAACGAUUGCCAUCUGCCUCUGAUUGGGAACCAUACCAGGCCAAACACAUAGAAAUAUAAAACCUAGACUACAAAACACAGAAUGCCCACUCCAACCCACGGCCUGACCAAACUAAAACAGAGACAUAAAAAAGGAACUAAGGUCAGGACGUGUUACAUAACUGUAACCACUGAAGUGCUUUUCAGGAAACACGUGAAAUAUAAAAACAAGAGUCAGACAUGGCCUAGUGUAAUGACAUGACGUAGUCCUCAUCAUUUAGGAUCAGCUUGGUUUUGAUUUUGGUAAAUCUGGUUGGUUUUGCUUUUGGUAAACAUGGUUGGUUUUGCUUUUGGUACACUUGGUUGGUUUAACUUUUGGUAAACUUGAUUUGUUUUGCUGGGUAAAUUUGGUUGGUUUUGCUUGGUAAUCUUGGUUGGUUUUGCUUGGUAAACUUGGUGGGUAAACUUGGUUGGUUUUGCUGGGUAUAUUUGGUUGGAAUUUCUUUGGUAAACUUGGUUGGCUUUGCUUGGUAAACUUGGUUGGUUUUCCUUGGUAAACUUUGUGGGUAAAUCUGGUUUGGUUUUGCUGGGUAAAUGUGGUGGGUAAAUCUGGUUGGUUUUGCUGGUUAAAUUUGGUUGGACUUCGAGAGAACUGGGCCUGUAGAACCCCCCACCCCCAGAUAGCUGACUGAUGAGUAAAAGUUGGCUGGGAAUAGUUGACACAGGGUGUGUUGUGUGAUCUUGUGGACUAAACCAGUUGAGCAGGGAGGUUCUUGUUUUGGCUGUUGUGCCUAAUGGGCGUUAGUUCACAUUGAUAUGGGAUUGUCAGUGCUUUUGUGUUCUCUGAAGAAAAUGGCGCUUAUUGUGUUAAAGUUUGAGAGAUAAAUCCAGUAAGAUCAAGUAUGAAUGGGUAAAAAAAAAAAAACUUGAUUUCCAGUAUGGUGACAAUAAAAUAGGUGAACAUGAUCCAUUUGGCAUUCCAUAUCUUUACAAAAAAAUAUGCAGACUCUAAAGUCAAGAAAUAACUGAAACGUUAUGUUGGCACCUGUAUGUUAUUGUAACGCUCGUCGUUGCAUGAAGAAGGAGUGGACCAAAGCACAGCUUACAUUUUGGCACCAGUGUAUGUGCAACGUUUAGACUGAUCCAAUGAACCAUUAUAGUGAACGCUUUUCUUUUAGACUAGCAAGAAAUCCACAGGGGCCGACAAAUUGGAUGCUGCCUGGUCUGGUUUCACGAUGAUGAGGAUGAUGCGUAUUGAAAGUAUUGAUCGAGGACGUAUUUGUGGAGGAAUGUAACAGUUUUUCUGGAGGAUUUGUUAUGUUUU
ensembl:lncRNA